rnacentral:rRNA from 1 species
AUUGAACGCUGGCGGCAGGCCUAACACAUGCAAGUCGAACGGUAACAGAAAGCAGCUUGCUGCUUUGCUGACGAGUGGCGGACGGGUGAGUAAUGUCUGGGAAACUGCCUGAUGGAGGGGGAUAACUACUGGAAACGGUAGCUAAUACCGCAUAACGUCGCAAGACCAAAGAGGGGGACCUUCGGGCCUCUUGCCAUCGGAUGUGCCCAGAUGGGAUUAGCUAGUAGGUGGGGUAACGGCUCACCUAGGCGACGAUCCCUAGCUGGUCUGAGAGGAUGACCAGCCACACUGGAACUGAGACACGGUCCAGACUCCUACGGGAGGCAGCAGUGGGGAAUAUUGCACAAUGGGUGCAAGCCUGAUGCAGCCAUGCCGCGUGUAUGAAGAAGGCCUUCGGGUUGUAAAGUACUUUCAGCGGGGAGGAAGGGAGUAAAGUUAAUACCUUUGCUCAUUGACGUUACCCGCAGAAGAAGCACCGGCUAACUCCGUG